rnacentral:lncRNA from 1 species
CUUACCCAGACGCCCAUCUGAGGCUUUUCUCCCCUAUUCCGAUGGAAUGUGUCCCCGGAAGCUGAUACUUCGCCAUUUUUUUUUUUUUUUUUUUUUUUUUUUUGUCUCUUAACAGGCGGGCUGAGGAAGUUGCCUCUCUCUGGCGCCUGCAUUCAAUGAACGUUUGUAAUGUUAGCAGGUGUGUGGGUGAGUGCUCCCUGUGAUGGAACGGUGUCCUGUUCAGGACUGGGUGCCACCUGGCACCUUGAGCUGCCAGGACCGGCUCGGGCUGCUCGCGAUCCCAAACUAGAACAAAUGGAAAUGUUCAGUUGUCUAGCUCACAGGGAUAUCCACAAGCCAGACCCAGAAAGCCUUUGCUACCAUUGAUGAAGAUGCCAAGUCCACAGCCCAACAGCCAGAAGACCCUUGGUCUAAUUUUCUUAUCAUUGGCCUUCAACAUUUUUAUCAGGAUAUAUCUGUGUAUAUUGCAGAUUUUACAAAUUGAAGGUUUGUGACAACUCCCUCAAGGAAGUCUGUUGGUGUUAUUUUUCCAACAGCAGGUACUCACUUCAUGUCUCUGUGUCACAUUUUGGCCUUUAAACCAAGAGAAGACAUACCUGAGCAAUUGAACCAGAAGGGAUGAGCCCCACCUGGAUCUGAUGCAGAUUAAAAUAUCUUGGACCUUGGGCCUGAGCUUGGAAUGGAAUGAGACCUUUGAGGAUCUUAGUGGGGAGUAAGUAUGUUUUGCAAAAGGGAGAAAUGGAAAUAAUUUGUGCUGAGAAGUUGGACUAUGGCAGCUUGAGGUCAGUGAAGACAUCACUACACAAGCUUUGGUACUCCUGCCAUUAAGACAUAAAGACAGUUUUCUUUCCCUUUAAAUCAAAACAGGCUUGGAAUGUUUUAACCAAUAGAGUAUGCCAGAAGUGACCCAUAGAAUGUGACGGAAGUGACCUCAUGUGACUUUUGAGCCUAGAUCAUAAAAAACCAUGAAGCUUAUGCCAUGUUCCAUGGGUUGUACCAAUAAGAGCCCUGAUCUACUAGAUAAGCCUCCUGGGGAUGCCAUGUACUUUUUUCUUAUACGUUACAAUUGUCUUAAGGAAAGGGUGAUGCCAAUUAUAACAUGACACAGCGAUUUUUGAAAAUGUUUUGCAC